UACAUAGGGGGCGAGCGUUGUCCGGAAUGACUGGGCGUAAAGGGUGCGUAGGUGGUGUAUCAAGUUGGAAGUGUAAUACCCAGGGCUUAACUCGGGUGCUGCUUCCAAAACUGAUUUACUUGAGUGUCGGAGGGGAAAGUGGAAUUCCUAGUGUAGCGGUGGAAUGCGUAGAUAUUAGGAGGAACACCGGUGGCGAAAGCGGCUUUCUGGACGACAACUGACACUGAGGCACGAAAGCGUGGGGAGCAAACAGGAUUAGAUAC
rnacentral:rRNA from 1 species